AUUGAACGCUGGCGGCAGGCCUAACACAUGCAAGUCGAACGAGUGGCGGACGGGUGAGUAAUGUAUGGGAAACUGCCUGGUGGCGGGGGAUAACUACUGGAAACGGUAGCUAAUACCGCAUACCAUUAGAUCUGCCCAUAUGGGAUUGGCUUGUUGGUGGGGUAAAGGCUCACCAAGGCGACGAUCCGUAGCUGGUCUGAGAGGAGGACCAGCCACACUGGAACGGAGACACGGUCCAGACUCCUACGGGAGGCAGCAGUGGGGAAUAUUGCACAAUGGGCGCAAGCCUGAUGCAGCCAUGCCGCGUGUAUGAAGAAGGCCUUCGGGUUGUAAAGUACUUUCAGCGGGGAGGCGGUACCCGCAGAAGAAGCACCGGCUAACUCCGUGCCAGCAGCCGCGGUAAUUC
rnacentral:rRNA from 1 species